rnacentral:rRNA from 1 species
AGUAGCCGCGGUAAUACGAGGGGGGCAAGCGUUGUUCGGAAUUAUUGGGCGUAAAGGGUGCGUAGGCGGUUUCGCAAGUCUUGUGUGAAAUCUAUGGGCUCAACCCAUAGUCUGCACAGGAAACUGCGAGGCUUGAGGAUGGGAGAGGUGAGUGGAAUUUCCGGUGUAGCGGUGAAAUGCGUAGAGAUGUGGAGGAACACCAGUGGCGAAGGCGACUCUCUGGUCUGUAACUGACGCUGAGGAGCGAAAGCGUGGGGAGCGAACAGGAUUAGAUACCCCGGUAGUCCCUGUCUCUUAUACC